UACAGAGGUCUCGAGCGUUAGGCGGAAUCACUGGGCUUAAAGCGUGUGUAGGCGGAUCGGUAAGUACCUUGUGAAAUCCCACAGCUUAACUGUGGAACUGCUUGGUAUACUGCCAGUCUUGAGCCAGCUAGGGGCUACCGGAACAAAUGGUGGAGCGGUGAAAUGCGUUGAUAUCCUAAGGAACACCGGUGGCGAAAGCGGCGUACUGGGUCUUAUCUGACGCUCAUGCACGAAAGCUAGGGUAGCGAACGGG
rnacentral:rRNA from 1 species